ACCUUAAAACUAGCCUAACCAGUCAUUAAACAUAACCUUAUUAAUUAAAUCUACACUCUUCAAAAAAUUAAAACAUUUCAUAACUUUUAGUAUGGGUGACAGAACAAAGACCCAAGCGCAAUAGACUUAAGUACCGCAAGGGAAAGUUGAAAAAGAAAUGAAAUAAUAACUAAAGUACAAAAAAGCAGAGAUUAAACCUCGUACCUUUUGCAUCAUGAUUUAGCUAGACUAACUAGACAAAGAGACCUUAAGCCUAUCAUCCCGAAACUAGACGAGCUACUCCAGAGCAGCAUAAAAAGAGCGAAUUCAUCUCUGUGGCAAAAGGGUGAAAAGACUCCCGAGUAGCGGUGACAAACCUAUCGAGCCUAGUGAUAGCUGGUUACCCAAAAAAAGAACUUCAAUUCUGCAUUAAUCUUUAAACGUCAACUAAGAAUAUCUCCCAAAGACUAAACAUAAAAAUUAAUAGUUAUUCAAAAAAGGUACAACUUUUCUGAACAAAGAUACAACUUUUCAAGGUGGAUAAUGAUCAUAUUUAUCAAGGACUUUUCCCCAGUGGGCCUAAAAGCAGCCAUCUGUAAAGCAAGCGUCACAGCUCCAGCCCAUAAUUAAACCUAUAAUUUAGAUACUAUUUCAAAAUCCCCUUAAUUAAUAUUGGGUUAUUUUAUAAAAUUAUAAAAGAACUUAUGCUAAAAUGAGUAAUAAGAGGUUAAACCUCUCCCAACACUAGUGUAUAUCAGAAAGAAUUAAAUCACUGAUAAUUAAACGACCUCAAACUGAGAAAAUUAUAGAAAUUUAAUAUUAAACCAGAAAAACCUAUUUAAUUACUCGUUAAUCCUACACAGGAGUG
rnacentral:rRNA from 1 species